GCAGCUCCCGCAAACCCAUGGUUCCCUGGAGCCACAGCCUCCAGUGCUCUCAGCCUCUGAGAGUCAAGGCUUUCGUUGGCGCAGCUGCAGCCGGUGGCAAUGGCUACAAACCUCCUCCCCUCGUCUCCCUAAGGCGGAGCCCAGGCCACCCGGGCCGAAGCGCCCACGGAUCGCGAGUGAGCAGAAACGCCCAGACAGACGCCGCGGGACAGGGACCUACAAGAGUCCCAGGGGUUUCCGGCAAGCUGGAGAGGAGAGUGAUCCGGGGGAGCAAACUUGGCGCCGGCAACUCAGAGAGACACUUCCUUGGCACUCACCCAGAAACUUGGAACGGCUGGACUCUACGUUUUGCUCACCUUAGCUUCUUUUCCCAACCUGUCGGCAUGCUUCAAAUCCCUCCGAAAUUUCCUGAGAGAAGCCUUCCCAGAGUCAAGACCAACCUCCCCUCUUCCUGCUCUGAGCUCUUCGAAACCUAA
rnacentral:lncRNA from 1 species